rnacentral:rRNA from 1 species
CCUACGGGAGGCAGCAGUGGGGAAUAUUGGACAAUGGGCGCAAGCCUGAUCCAGCCAUGCCGCGUGAGUGAUGACGGCCUUAGGGUUGUAAAGCUCUUUCGCUCGGGACGAUAAUGACGGUACCGAGAGAAGAAGCCCCGGCUAACUUCGUGCCAGCAGCCGCGGUAAU